AGGGGACCUUCGGGCCUUUCGCUAACAGAUGAGCCUGCGUUGGAUUAGCUAGUUGGUGGGGUAAGGGCCUACCAAGGCGACGAUCUAUAGCUGGUCUGAGAGGACGAUCAGCCACACUGGGACUGAGACACGGCCCAGACUCCUACGGGAGGCAGCAGUGGGGAAUAUUGGACAAUGGGCGCAAGCCUGAUCCAGCAAUACCGCGUGUGUGAAGAAGGCCUUAGGGUUGUAAAGCACUUUCAAUUGGAAGGGAAAAACUCAUGGCCAAUACCCAUGAGCUUGACAUUACCUUUAGAAGAAGCACCGGCUAACUCCGUGCCAGCAGCCGCGGUAAUACGGAGGGUGCGAGCGUUAAUCGGAAUUACUGGGCGUAAAGCGUGCGUAGGCGGCCCGUUAAGUCAGAUGUGAAAGCCCCGGGCUCAACCUGGGAACUGCAUUUGAAACUGGCGGACUAGAGUUUAGUAGAGGGGAGUGGAAUUUCAGGUGUAGCGGUGAAAUGCGUAGAUAUCUGAAGGAACACCAGUGGCGAA
rnacentral:rRNA from 1 species